CACGUAGGGGGCGAGCGUUGUCCGGAUUUAUUGGGCGUAAAGAGCUCGUAGGCGGUUCGGCAAGUCGGGUGUGAAAUUUCGAGGCUCAACCUCGAAACGCCACUCGAUACUGCUGUGACUGGAGUCCGGUAGAGGAGUGCGGAAUUCCUGGUGUAGCGGUGAAAUGCGCAGAUAUCAGGAGGAACACCAACGGCGAAGGCAGCACUCUGGGCCGGUACUGACGCUGAGGGAGCGAAAAGCGUGGGGAGCAAACAGG
rnacentral:rRNA from 1 species